CUGCCAUUUGAUUGCAUCAGAUACCACGUGAUGGGUACACAGAUUCCAAGUCCAUUAAGAUGGAUGUAUUUUCAACACAACAAAUUCAUAAGGUCCCAUUACCGCAGCUGUAACCUACUCAUGACUCCCACACCUGACUCUCCUGUCAACUACACAAAUGCUUAUGGACAAUGGCUUUUCCUCCAAGUCUCAAGGUCAAGCUUCCUACCUCCCUAUAUGUAUACGAACCCUCAACGACCAGAUUGGACUUGUCGUAAUGGACUUCUUACUCCGCGAUGUAUCGGAACUCAAGGACUGGAGUGG
rnacentral:lncRNA from 1 species